rnacentral:rRNA from 1 species
GAUGAACGCUGGCGGCGUGCUUAACACAUGCAAGUCGAGCGAAGCACUUAACUUUGAUUCUUUCGGGAUGAAGAGUUCUGUGACUGAGCGGCGGACGGGUGAGUAACGCGUGGGUAACCUGCCUCAUACAGGGGGAUAACAGUUAGAAAUGGCUGCUAAUACCGCAUAAGACCACAGCACCGCAUGGUGCAGGGGGUAAAAACUCCGGUGGUAUGAGAUGGACCCGCGUCUGAUUAGCUGGUUGGUGAGGUAACGGCCCACCAAGGCGACGACCAGUAGCCGACCUGAGAGGGUGACCGGCCACAUUGGGACUGAGACACGGCCCAGACUCCUACGGGAGGCAGCAGUGGGGAAUAUUGCACAAUGGAGGAAACUCUGAUGCAGCGACGCCGCGUGAGUGAAGAAGUAGUUCGCUAUGUAAAGCUACUAUCAGCAGGGAAGAUAGUGA